GACGAACGCUGGCGGCGUGCCUAAUACAUGCAAGUCGAACGCAGUUGGGACGGGUGAGUAACACGUGGGUAACCUCCCAUCAGAGGGGAUAACACUUGGAAACAGGUGCUAAACCGAUACUGAUGGAUGGACCCUCGGUUCAUUAGCUAGUUGGUGAGGUAACGGCUCACCAAGGCCACGAUGCAUAGCCGACCUGAGAGGGGGAGCGGCCACACUGGGACUGAGAGAAGGCCCAGAAGCCGACGGGAGGCAGCAGUAGGGAAUCUUCGGAAAUGGACGAAAGUCUGACCGAGAAACGCCGCGUGAGGGAAGAAGGGUUUCGGAUCGGAAAACUCUGUUGUUAGAGAAGCGGUAUCUAACCAGAAAGCCACGGCUAACUACGUGCCAGCAGCCGCGGUAAUAC
rnacentral:rRNA from 1 species